GGCGGUUGGCCGCACUGUCCUCUGCACGGGGGACGCAGGCCAGCUGCCAGGCCUCGACGACAAUGCCCCCCCUCUGCCCUUGGGAAGGCUUUGGGGCCGGGCAGACCCGCCGCCCGCAGCCACUCCGCCUCUGCCCUCUCUGCCCCACAGCCCGGCCAUCGCUGCCCGCCUUGGCGGGCUCCUGUCGGGAUAGGGUAGGGCCACCGCCGGUCUGGUUAUGGGCCGCCCUCUGGGCACCGAGCAGCCCCCCGAGCCCUGACCGACCACGAGGACCCGGGAGGAUCGAUGCCUCUGGAGCCUCCAGCGAACUCAGUGGAAACCAUGGCUUCUUUGACUGGGGCUAGGCUGCCCUCCUUUCUCUACAUCUCCUUGCAGAGACAGAAUGGCCCCGGGCAGCGUGUAAUCAGGGAGGUGAACACCACCACCAGGGCCUGUGCUCUUUGGGGCCUGGCUGAAGACAGCGACUACACAGUGCAGGUCAGGAGCAUCGGCCUCUGGGAAGAGAGGCCCCCAGGGCCCCGUGUGCACUUCCAAACUCUCAAGGUUUCUGACAGGCUGCCCUCCAAAAGCUCCAGCCCAUGACUCACUGCGCUUACCCAGGUCCUGUGUGCACCUUCGAGAACCCACUAGGUGACCUUAUGACGUAUGUCGCCUGUAUGUCAACCACUAGCGCCGCCAAUGCAGGCCUGUUGUCUGCAUCAUGCAGUUGAAGCACCCGAGAACCCUGUUGAGCCCUCAGGUGAGGAAUCCCAUGCCUCUCCCAUUCCCGACCACCAGGCAUUACAAAACAAAACAAAACAAAAACAGGAACAGAAGUUGACACUUUUGAGCUUCUACUCCUGGAGAAGACUGUAAAAGCUCGCUCUGCAGUCGAUGUGCAUCGCUGACUGACGGCUAAAUGCUGUCAUUGCAUCGCAUACAUCAGUUGAGUGCCAGGCCCAACUUAGGCUCUACGGGAUCAAAUCUACCUGCAUUACGUCAAGACUUUUUCUGGAGGGAAAGGCGCAUAUAUAGAUCACGAUCACAGCUCUACACAGGAUGAAAUAAACGCUUUAGAUAUAAGCCCUUAAAAAGGUAGAGCGGAAGCUGAACUCUCUUUUGGAUUGUGAAAGUGUGUUUCGGAUGCAGAAGAGGCUGGGCACUGGGAGAGGAGCCCAGAAACAUAAACGACUGGGUUUGGGAGUGAAGAGGACAGAAUUCGUGUCUUGGCUUAGCUCCAACACUGACUUGACCAAAUGGUAUCUCUGGCUUUAACCCUCACCAUAUGCAGUCUUUCCAACACUAGCUUCUUCAUCUGGUAAAGAAAAGCCACAGUGAGAGCAACUGUAAGCGACUUAGGAGAAUGUUAAGUAAAGCUCUACACAGAA